GACGAACGCUGGCGGCGUGCUUAACACAUGCAAGUCGAACGGAAAGGCGCGGCGCUUGUGGGGUGCUUGAGUGGCGCAAGGGUGAGUAAAACGUGAGUAACCUGUCCUUGACUUUGGGAGAACAUCAGGAAACUGGGGCUAAUAUCGGAUAGGAGCUCUUGCAGCAUGGGGGGGGUUGGAGAGUUUCGGUGGUUGGGGAUUGACUCGCGGCUUAUCCGCUUGAUGGUGGGGUAGUGACUUACCAAGGCUUUGACGGGUAGCCGGCCUGAGAGCGUGACCGGCGACAUUGCGACUACGAUACGGCCCAGACGCCUACCGGAGGCAGCAGUGGAGAAUAUUGCACAGUGGGCGGAAGCCUGAUGCAGCAACGCCGCGUGCGGGAUGACGGCCUUCUGGUUGUAAACCGCUUUCUCCUGUGACGAGGCGUGCGUGACGGUAGUGGAUAAAAAAGCACCGGCUAACUACGUG
rnacentral:rRNA from 1 species